UUGUUUUCAUUAAUUCUACCAUGAUAGUUCACGCAUCAUGAAAGGUCAUGUAAGAGAUUGAGAGUUGAAGAGAGAAACCAAAACUCUACAGACAAUUAUUUUAUUUAAAAUAAUAACAUGGUACAACAGUGGUAGAGGGAGAGGGGGGCCUUUGGAGAUAGGUCCCCCUUACACUAUCAAUAAUUUUUUCUAUAUACUACAAUUAAAUUGUAUUAUAUGUUUCAUAAACUGUAUAUUAGGUUAUGGUCCCCUCAAUUAAUCUAAUUAAAAUGUUUACAAUGUUAUUAGAUUAAUUGACAACUAAUAUCA
rnacentral:lncRNA from 1 species